rnacentral:rRNA from 1 species
UACGUAGGGUCCGAGCGUUGUCCGGAUUUAUUGGGCGUAAAGAGCUCGUAGGCGGUUCCGUAAGUCAGAUGUGAAAACUCAGGGCUCAACCCGGAGACGCCAUCUGAUACUGCGGUGACUGGAGUCUGGAAGGGGAUGGUGGAAUUCCCAGUGUAGAGGUGAAAUUCGUAGAUAUUGGGAAGAACACCGGUGGCGAAGGCGGCCAUCUGGACCGCAACUGACGCUGAGGCGCGAAAGCGUGGGGAGCAAACAGG